GAUGAACGCUGGCGGCGUGCUUAACACAUGCAAGUCGAACGGAAAGGCCCAAGCUUGCUUGGGUACUCGAGUGGCGAACGGGUGAGUAACACGUGGGUGAUCUGCCCUGCACUUCGGGAUAAGCCUGGGAAACUGGGUCUAAUACCGGAUAGGACCACAUUUUGGAUGGUGUGGUGGAAAGUUUUUCGGUGUGGGAUGAGCUCGCGGCCUAUCAGCUUGUUGGUGGGGUAAUGGCCUACCAAGGCGUCGACGGGUAGCCGGCCUGAGAGGGUGUACGGCCACAUUGGGACUGGGGUACGGCCCAGACUCCUACGGGAGGCAGCAGUGGGGAAUAUUGCACAAUGGGCGCAAGCCUGAUGCAGCGACGCCGCGUGGGGGAUGACGGCCUUCGGGUUGUAAACUCCUUUCGCUAGGGACGAAGCGUUAUGUGACGGUACCUGGAGAAGAAGCACCGGCUAACUACGUG
rnacentral:rRNA from 1 species